rnacentral:rRNA from 1 species
CACGUAGGGGGCGAGCGUUGUCCGGAUUUAUUGGGCGUAAAGAGCUCGUAGGCGGUUUCGUAAGUCGGAUGUGAAAACUCCAGGCUCAACUUGGAGACGCCAUUCGAUACUGCGAUGACUUGAGUCCGGUAGGGGAGUGUGGAAUUCCUGGUGUAGCGGUGAAAUGCGCAGAUAUCAGGAGGAACACCGAUGGCGAAGGCAGGUCUCUGGGCAUUAACUGACGCUGAGGAGCGAAAGUGUGGGGAGCGAACAGG